UAAAUAGCAACGCCUUUGUUAGAAACA
rnacentral:sRNA from 1 species